GGCCCCAACACAUGGUUGGCUCUUACACAGAGACAGUCUGAGGUUCAAAUGUGUUCAUUGAGCCAGAAGGGCAUAGUUAAAAGGUCUGGGAUCUGGACUGUGAGCUCCAGAGCAGCUGUGAUCCACUGUAAAAAGGUCUGAUGAGGGUCUAAACUAGUCUGUGUACUGUAUGUUCUGCUCAGGAGCUCCCAGGGGCACAUGGGAAGUUCUGUGUGACGAGUCUUUACAUCAGGACGAGAGGAAACAACCUGUUCAGGUCAGUGUUGGUUCCACCACCUCCACCAGAGCUGCUGUCACACUCACAUCCUCAACUACCUCCAUUUGUGCUGCUGCUUUGUCCAGUGUGGGCUAAAGAAGAUCAAGGAGACAGACACAGAGACGUAAAGAGGACUGGUAGGAGCCUGAACUACUUUCCUGCUGCAAAAGAACAGGACCCACAUGAACGGACGGCCUCAAUCACCUGAAACAGAGCUGUGCUCCUCCAACUCCUCCACUGGUUGUUAAACAGGCUGCUCCUCAAGUACAGUUUCUGUGACUGAGGUUGUUGUGAAGUGUGAACACUCAGUAAACUCUAUACAUUCUCGAA